ACAGCAGCAGCCGCGGUAAUACGGAGGGGGCUAGCGUUGUUCGGAAUUACUGGGCGUAAAGCGCACGUAGGCGGCUUGGUAAGUUAGAGGUGAAAGCCUGGAGCUCAACUCCAGAAUUGCCUUUAAGACUGCCGAGCUAGCAGGUGAGAGAGGUAAGUGGAAUUCCGAGUGUAGAGGUGAAAUUCGUAGAUAUUCGGAAGAACACCAGUGGCGAAGGCGGCUUACUGGCUCAUACUGGACGCUGAGGUGCGAAAGCGUGGGGAGCAAACAGGAUUAGAUACCCCUGUAGUCCCUGUCUCUUAUAC
rnacentral:rRNA from 1 species